AUGGACAAGCAGAUCCUCGGCCUCGCCGCCUCCGCCGCCCCGUCCCCCUCCCUCGCGGGCGGCGGGAGCGGGGGCUCGGAGCUCCUCGAUCUGAUGGGCCCCGACCCCCAGGAGGAGAGCGAGGACGGCCUGCGCCGCCGCCACCACCACAGCGCCAACGGCACCGCCACCGACGUGCUGCCCAGCUACGACUUCCAGCCCAUGCGCACCGCCACGGCCGCCCCCGCCGCCGCGCCGCCCUCGUGGGGUUCCCUCGACUCCAACUCCAAGGCCGCCUCGGUCUCCGCCUCCGCCUCGUCCCCAUACAACCUGAAGAGUGCUGGUAUAUUGGAGAACCGUGUGCCGAAGAAUGUUAAUCAUGAGGAAGACAGGAGUAACUUUGGACUGGUAACUAUAGCAGAUAUUGAUCGAACCAUGAAGAAGUAUUCUGAUAACCUGUUGUAUGCACUAGAAGGUGUAAGCUCAAGGCUUUCACAGCUGGAGAGUAGAACUCACCAUCUUGAAAGUUCUGUUGAUGAGUUCAAGCUAACAAUUGGCAACUAUAAUGGUAGCACUGAUGGAAAACUGAGGCAACUUGAGAAUAUGUUGAGGGAGGUCCAAGCGGGUGUACAGAUUAUGCGUGACAAGCAGGAAAUUGUUGAAACACAGCUUCAUCUUGCAAAGCUCCAGAUACCCAAAACUGAGACCCAGUCAUCAGAAAAUAGUGGGGUUGGACAGGCAGACUCGCGGCACCAGUCAGUUGCUCCGCAGCAGGCAGGCGUUCCGCCGCAACAUCAACCCCAAACUUUUCCUGCCCUUCCUGCUCCUAACGCGCCGCCUCCACCUCCAACACUUCAAAGUCAGCCUCCAGCACAGUUCCUAGGUCAUUCAUCGGCUCCCUCUGUACCAGCUUUACCACAGGAACCCUACUACACACCAUCUGCCCAGACAACUGAAGCUAUUCAUCAGCAGUAUCAAGCCCCUCCAGUUCCACAGCCGCAGGCGCCUCCAGCACCACAGCAGCAGUAUCAAGCGCCUCCAGCUCCACCACAGCAGUAUCAAGCCCCUCCAGUUCCACAGGCACAUGCACCUCCAGCUCCACCACAGCAGUAUCAAGCCCCUCCAGUUCCACAGGCGCAGGCGCCUCCAGCUCCACCGCAACAGUAUCAAACCCCGUCUCAGUUUUCUCAAUAUUCACAACAACCUCAGCCUACAAAUGUUAACCCUUCAAGUCCACUUGCACCUCCUGCACCCCAGCAGACAGAGUAUGCGCCUUCUCAUAGCUAUACACCAAAUGUUCGCACUCCUUCAGCUUACAUGCCGCCGCCAAAUGAAUCAGCCCUGCCUUUCUAUGGACAGAAUCCUAGCAUGUAUGAACCUCCUGCCGUCAGGCCCAACUCUGGGCCACCGCCAUCCUAUGGUGCCCCUGGGUAUGGGCCACAGGGAGGAAGUAGCUUUUCUGAAUCAUAUGGUUACACUGGAUCUCCUUCUUACCGUGGGAAUGCUGGAAUGAAGUCCACACCUUUUGCUCCCUCAGGACCAUCCUCUGGUGGUAGCGGCAACAGCUACGGCACCAGGCUCCCCACAGCUCGGAUACUACCACAAGCAGAGCCAGUCAGUUCCAGCCCAACUGCUGCAUCGGGCAACAGGGUGGCCCUUGAUGAUGUGGUAGAGAAGGUUGCGACGAUGGGGUUCUCAAGGGAACAGGUGAGGGCAACCGUGCGGAGGCUGACCGAGAAUGGGCAGAACGUCGACCUGAAUGUGGUGCUCGACAAGCUGAUGAACGGGUGA
rnacentral:rRNA from 1 species